rnacentral:rRNA from 1 species
UUCCGGUUGAUCCUGCCGGACCUUACUGCUAUCGGGGUGGGACUAAGACAUGCGAGUCGAGCGUCUCUAGCUAUGUUGAGACGCGGCAGACGGCUCAGUAACACGUGGCUAACCUACCCUCAGGACGAGGACAAACCCGGGAAACUGGGGCUAAUACUCGAUAGGUGAGUAUGUCUGGAAUGAUUUCUCACUCAAAGGGCUUUAGAAACAUGCUUCUAAAGUCGCCUGGGGAUGGGGCCGCGUCCGAUCAGGUUGUUGGUGAGGUAAUGGCUCACCAAGCCUAUAACCGGUACGGGCCGUGAGAGCGGUAGCCCGGAGAUGGGUACUGAGACAAGGACCCAGGCCCUACGGGGCGCAGCAGUCGCGAAAACUCCGCAAUGCACGAAAGUGUGACGGGGCUACCCCGAGUGCCAUCCGCUGAGGAUGGCUUUUCUUUGGUGUAACUAGCCGGGGGAAUAAGGAGAGAGCAAGACUGGUGUCAGCCGCCGCGGUAAUACCAGCUCUCCGAGUGGUAGGGAUGAUUAUUGGGCUUAAAGCGUCCGUAGCCGGCUUAGCAAGUCUCCUGUUAAAUUCAGCGACCUAAUCGUUGAGCCGCGGGAGAUACUACUAGGCUAGGAGGCGGGAGAGGUCGACGGUACUUCUGGGGUAGGGGUGAAAUCCUAUAAUCCCGAGAGGACCACCAGUGGCGAACGCUGUUGACUAGAACGCGCUCGACAGUGAGGGACGAAAGCUGGUGGAGCGAACCGGAUUAGAUACACGGGUAGUCCCAGCCGUAAACGAUGCGGUCUAGGUGUUGGGGUGCCUACGUGCCACUUCAGUGCAGCGGGGGAAUCCACUAAGCCCUGCUGCCUGGGCAGUACGGGCCGCAAGGCUGAAUACUUAAAGGUAGUCGUCCGGUGUAGUCACCACAAGCCCUGAUAGCUGGCAGUCAGUGGGAAUCACGCCGAU